rnacentral:lncRNA from 10 species
UUCACCAAGUAAAGGUCUUUUUAGAAAUGAUUUUAAGAAUCCCAACCUGGAUUUUCUUUUCAGAAAUACUACUUUCAUGGCUCUGGCUAUGAACAUCAGCAUAUAGAGAAUGGAUCACUACCAAAGAAGGCACCCGAAUGUGUCUGUCUCAUCCUGGGGAAACUCAUUCAUCUGUAUAUGUACUCAGCAAGUGUUUCCUGGCACCUGCUCUGGGUCACAGUGCUGGGCACUGGAAGCUGAGAGAUGUGGAAGAAGGCUGGACAUUCAAGAUCAAUAAUGAUAAUUGGGAACAGAACCUAGCUGAGGAACAUGGACAGAAGGUGGUCAGAUGUUGAUGCUGAACUCUUUGAAGUCCAUUUCCUGGAAAGUUCUUUGAUGAGAAGCCCGAGGCUGGUAAACUAGAGUCCAAGGGCAGAAAGCU